AAGACGCUUCGUUUUCUAAGGUUCUGUUCUGGGAAUAUCUGGAUUAUAUAGGUAACUGACAGGUGUGUUGACAACCGUAUCGGCAAGUUUAAGAUUAACAAUCCGAUGAGACACGUAAUCUCUCGAGUGCGAUUGCCACGUUAUAUCGUUUCUGUCAACUCUAUGUUAAAAAAUGAACUGUGGAAGUAGUGUUUUUUCUGACAAUGGAGAAGAGAAGGCUAGAUUCAAGCGUACAUACGCAAGUGUGGUUAGUGAAGACGAUCAGUCAACUCCGUUGACAAAUUCCUGGUGGAGAAAACUCCAGGAAGAAAAUGAAGAAGAAACCAUUCAUCCAUUCUCGGAGACCCAGGGGCUGUGCGGCUCUCCUGCACUUAACUUGAAAUCGACUCUCAGCCCCUGGGUCUCCGAGGAUGCCAUUCAUCACGAGCCUCAGGUAGACGGAAGUUUAAAUAUUCGGAUUGAAAACGAUCGACUUAAGGCCGACCUCGAUCAAGCGCGGAGUCAGCUAGAAUCCCUCUAAGAAGAAAUAAUAAUAUCAGCUAAGUAAGACCAGCCUCAGAGUUAAAAUUGAGGAGAAGGUCGCCGCGAGGAUGUGUGGACAUCGAUCAAAUGUAAUCGCAGGUCAGGUCCACAGUCCUGAGGUGGGGCGAAUGCUCAGCGACAUCGCUGAGAAAAUUAAAAUUAACAGCAGCAGCCUACUGAAAGCGUUGGAAACAACACUGGGGAACAGUAACCCUCAGUUUUUGCAAUCUCAGAGUGCCAGACUGGACCCUGCUGUUUUUCAAAUUAUAGUCGAGGAUCCUGGACCAAGAAAAGCUCGGCAAACGUUACUUAGCAUUUCCAAGCUAAGAAAAACCGGCUUACUCUUGAUUACAAAUCACUGAUAAUGCUGCUUAAGCAAAACGGUGGUGAUGUCAAAAAAAUAUAUCAAUGAACUUUGCAAGCAAGGAUUGGGCACAGAGUGCUGUGUAUUCUGCAAAGUUAAUAAGAAAUGUGCCUGUUCUGAGAUUCCUUGUGGGGAAGCCUGUGCUGAGUGUUUCCUGAAGAACAAAGCAAAUAUUGGUGGGUAGGUAUAACUCUGCAUUUCUGUAUUGACAUGCACAACAAAGUCCAGCUUGCAGUAUGGUAUUUCACUUUCUCUUGGAAUACAUGUCUUUAAAUCUCUUUUGGGAUACUUAGUUUGACGGACAGUUACCAGCAAAAAUAUGGCAGGUUUGAAUUAUAAAGGUGGAAACUAAAUUCA